AUCACAGACAUCCCAGUCAGGGCUGCCAUCAGACAUUUGGGGACUUAUUACAAAUCUCAAUGCCACCAGGAACCCCCCCAGAGUGUGCCCGCAAGGCUUGCCAAUGAGUCCACCUACAGGUCCCACCCCAGAGCCCGUUCACAGGGAGUGGAGUGUAUGUUUGUAGGGGAUGUGUUGUGUGUUAUUACAAUGUGUGUGCUUAUGGAAUGUAGUAUAUAGGGAUUGCAGUUUGUGUAGGGGAUGUAGCAUGUCUGUAUAGGGGUUGUAGUGUGUGUCUGUGUAAGUGUUUGCAUAUGGUGGUUGCAGUGUGUUUAUAGUGGAUGCAGUGUGUUAGUGUGUAAGAGUUGCAUUGUGUAUUUUUGUGUGAUUCUGUGUUUCUGUGUAAGGGAAACAGUGUG